GCGCAGCAGGCGCGAAAACUUUACAAUGCGGGAAACCGUGAUAAGGGAAUCUCGAGUGCCAGCAUAUAAUGUUGGCUGUCCAGAUGCCUAAAAAGCAUCUGUUAGCAAGGGCCGGGCAAGACCGGUGCCAGCCGCCGCGGUAACACCGGCGGCCCGAGUGGUAACCGCUUUUAUUGGGUCUAAAGGGUCUGUAGCCGGCCAAGUAAGUCCCUUGGGAAAUCUGGCAGCUUAACUGUCAGGCUGCCAGGGGAUACUGCUGGGCUUGGGACCGGGAGAGGUGAGAGGUACCUUGGGGGUAGGGGUGAAAUCUUGUGAUCCUCGGGGGACCACCAGUGGCGAAGGCGUCUCACCAGAACGGGUCCGACGGUAAGGGACGAAAGCUAGGGGCACGAACCGGAUUAGAUACCCCCGUAGUCC
rnacentral:rRNA from 1 species